AUACUGACCCUAUGAAAUUGCCCUGCUGAGGUGUCCAUGUAGACUUCUUUUUCCUGACCUCAUAAAGCUUUCUCUGGAAUCCCAGUUGAAGGGACAGAUUCUGUUUCCAUGUUGGUCAGUCGCACAGAUAAAAUGUUUCUUUUCCCAGAAGACCAGUGUCACAGAUUAUUUUUUGUGCUACAGCAUCAGCAAACCUACAUCGGAAACAAGUCCAGCACCAUGGCUAGCACCGCCAGGAGUCCAGAGUGAGAACAGUCACAGCCACACAGCUUCCUGACUCCUAAAAAGCACAGCUCUUAGAACGCUGGGAAUUUCUGACUUGUGUGAAAUACUUCACAAAUGUACCCUUUCAUCCUUACAAAAAUUCUUCAAGUUGAACCUGCAAGUACCUUCUAUUGUUCCAGAAUCUUGCUUUGUUGCCCUGCUGUACAGAGCCUACUGAGGUGGGAAGAGAGAAACAAAUAAAGGAAGAAUUGUAGCUGAGUGAGAAACAUGCAAAAGGAAUAAAGGGAAGUAAUUUCUAACCUUGAGGUAAGGCCAAUUGGAAGGGAGUGGGGUGAGCAGAAAACCUCCUCUGGACAUACUAUGGCUAGCAAAAAAAUUCUGAAUGGGACAGACUUGAGGAUACUCUAUUAACUGACCUAAAUUAUCUGGUAGAGAACAAGAGGGAUGGGUGAUGAACAAGAUCUCAGUGAGGACUGGAGCAGAUGGAUCUAAAAGCAGAAGGCCAGGUUAACAAAAAGUAUAAAAAAUGGCCUCUUAGGUAAAUGGACAAAAAUGGUUACAAUUGGAUUAAAUGAGAUUAUAAAGUUAUAGCUCCAAAGGAAAAACUGUGAGGUAACUUAGAAAUCUAGGACUUUCUAAGAGAAAUAGGAAAAAAUAGACACUAACAUAGAUAACAGUAGCAAAGUUGAUUGCCUUUAUUAUGCCGCUGAUUGUGUUAGGGGCUUUAUGUACAUUUCCUUAAUUUCUUCUUUCAAGGAUUGGCACCAUUAGUGUCUCCACCUUAUGGAAUUCAAAAUUGAAGAAACUUUCUAAUUGCCUCAGGUUAUAGAAGUAUUGCUGGUGCAGUUGUAAUCCCAGAUCGUGCCAGCAGCUCAGAAUGAAAGCAAAGAGUUGAAGAGCAUGAGUAAGUUGCUUUGAGGAAUGUGAGUAUAAGCUGAUGGGGAAUGUGAAAGAGAAUAACUGAGGAACACGCAUGGCCUGGGUCAGAAUGAGGUCAUUUAUUCUGCAAAAGAUCAAGAUUCCUUUCCAGUGACAGGGUUAUGAAGAACAGA